AUAUUUUCAAUCUUAUUGGGUAAGAAACCAUCUAUUACCACUUUGAAAUGGGCCUCCUUCCGGCUCCGCCCACGCUCGCGAGCUCAAGCUCCUGCCUUCCCGCGAGAGAGCGGUCGGCGCCCCUCGGCCCGCAAGGCCUCCCGGGAGUCGUGGUCUGGGCUCCGGCUGCCCUGCUCGCGGCGCGGAGCCGGGCGCGCCUCUCCCAACCUGUUUCCUGGGGUCUCUACUAUCGGCCUGGAUCUGCAGGUCCUCCGGGCGCCCGCGCCCCACGACGUGCCAGGCCCUGGGCCUGCGCCUGAUCCCUGCGAUCCCGGGCUCUGCCAGGCUGUUGGUGGAGACGCGAGGGAAGCACAGCCCGGCCCAUCUUCGGGAUCCUGGAGGAGGCACUCAGCCAGGACGUCUGCGAGGGCUCCCCGGAGGAAACGAGCUGGGAACUGAAAGGACUAGAAUGGAGGAGAGAGUUCCAGAAAGAGGGAGCCUGGAUGGGGAAAGGAACUGGUUCAGCAGAGCAUGUUCAAUCCAGGCCAGUGAGACUGGAGCACAAGCCUUGGAGGACAGAGAGGUUUCCCUCCUACGAGAACUGCCAGGGAGAGAUGGCCCUUCUUCCUCCAGACAUGUGAGGUUGGAACUGCUACCAGCUUGGAGACAGAGCUCCUGGAUCAGGCAUGUCCUGAAGUCUACCCUAUUUUGGAUUGCCAGUUAUAGAAGCUAAUAAUUCCCCUUUUGAAGCCCUCAGAGCUCCUGAGAGCCUCUCUUGGGACAGGUCAUCAUCAACCUAUUUCCUCGAUAUCAAAUGAAAUGGGUUUGAAUAACAACA